UGAAAGGCCCCCUCGCCGUAAGCCCAAGGUUUCCUACGCAACGUUCAUCGGCGUAGGGUGAGUCGGCCCCUAAGGCGAGGCAGAAAUGCGUAGCUGAUGGGAAGCAGGUCAAUAUUCCUGCACCAUUGUUAAAUGCGAUGGGGGGACGGAUCGCGGAAGGUUGUCCGGGUGUUGGAAGUCCCGGUCGCUGCAUUGGAGAAGGCGCUUAGGC
rnacentral:rRNA from 1 species